rnacentral:lncRNA from 1 species
GUGAGACAAGGGCCCUCCACACCCAGCCAUUCAGGCCUGAGGUCCUGGCUCCGAGACUGAGGCCGAGACGCGGCAAGCCCCGCGCCGGACCAGCUCUGCCCCUCCCGCACCCACGUGUCUGCGCACAGCCCUCCUUUGCGAUAGAACCCCCUUCCUGGUUCUCCACCACUAAUGAUCUGCCGGAAUUAAACUGGUAACUUUCCCUGCCCUUGAACCGGGAGUUUCGGGAUGAGUUUGCCAAUCCCUGUGCUAUUUGUAACCAGCCCCGUGACACGUGAUACGGAUCCAACUGUGCUAGUUUCCACACCAGGGGUCAGGGCACGGUGGAAGUGUUCUCAUCUGUAAUGUGAGAAUAACCAGACCUACCUCGAAGGAUGUCUUGCUUGAAGAGUAAAUAUCUGGCACAUGGAGAGUGAUCAAUAAAUGGAUUUCUCCUUAACUACUACUCGUCUAGCUACACUCAUCUCAUCUUCCACCUGUGGCUCAGGAAGCUUGAGCUGAUGAAUCCAUGGAGACUGUAAAGAAAUAGCAGGGGAGGUCGAUCAGGGUGCUCACUGAGAGCAAACUGUGGCUCUGUUGAUUUCUGAUGCCCAGUUGGCAAUGGUUGGAGUUCCCAGCCUGCCAGCUCAGCUGUUUCUCCCUAUAGCGCAUCUCUCAGUUAUUUCUAGGAGUUCUUAAAGGUGUGCAUCGCAUCAUCUCAAAAACCAGCCCGUCCAACUUGUGUUAUCUGCCCUGUUGAUCUACCUUUGUUUUCCCAAGGUCUGCAGCCUCCAAAGCUUCUGAAAUGGGACUUGCUGCUGCUGGUAUCUUUAGAGGGGCAUGUGGUAUCCUGCCAAGGGUGAUUCCUUAGCCUGUCAGUGGCCCAGGGCUCAGGAUUCUACCUGCCUCACAUCUCCUGGAUCCAUCUGCAUGUCUUGGCCCAAUCUCCAUAUCCUCGGUUCUGGCCCCUCCACUACCUGGUUGCCACUGAUGAUUCCAAGGAUUCAGAUCAGCUCACAGUGCUCCAAAAAUAUAGCAAAGUGAAACAAAUGUGCAAAUAAAUGAUAAAAACAAAAGAAGAAAAAGAAAGAAAAGACUUAUUGUAUAUCCUACCUCCUUCAAACAGCUUGCUGUGAUGUGCAUGGUGGUGUGGGAACCUUCUGAUGUCAUACAUACAGGUUUCCUUCGCCUUCUGUCUUGAUUGGAAACAGCCUGAAGCCCUCACCAGAAGCCAGAGGCAGAUGCUGGUGCCAUGCUUCUUGUACAGUCUGCAGAACUGUGAGCCAAAUAAACCUCUUUUCUUUAUAAAUUACCCAGCCUCGGGUAUUCCUUUAUAGUAACACAAACACACUAAGACAAUACCAAUUCAGAAUUCAGGCCUUCUCAUCAACAAAUCUUUCCUCUUCCAACCACCUCAGCCAACACCUCCUACCAGCUCACCCUGGACCAGGGACUACCUGAAACAGCCCCUUCUGCAAAAACAGGAAUUGGAGCAUCUCUUUCCAUCUUGCUUUUCCAGCCAUUCCUGCUACAACUGUCCUUCACUCUAACUAGACCCUUCACUUGUUCCAAUUAACUAUUUUUUCUUUACUUCUUUCUUGUGUAGUUUAGAUUCUAUGCUCUAUCAAUUCAGUAGCAGUCUCUCUGAUAGACUUAAAUUUCAAAGCCUGUGUCUUUGCAUCAUGCCAUCUGGUAAUGUUGCCAUUACCUACUUUUCUGAGCCUGUCCUCAGUAGCUAAGUGCUACUGGUGAACGACCCAACUCUAAAAUUGACUGCUAUCUGUGUAAAUCAAUGUUCACUAAACUGAAGUGGGCCCUCAACAAUGCCUGGCUACCCAACCCCAUUUUGUUCCUAGGCUCACUUUCUGCAUAACUGUUUUCAGCAGGUAGUCCCAAAGUCCAGUGAGCCUUUUUCCCUGCUCAGGUGACAGACACCCUUGAUGGUUCUGAUCCUUGCCUGGCCAGCAUGGUUCUUCAGGGAAGACAACAAGCAAGGGUAAAGCAAGGGUAAAUCCUUGGCCAAGCACACUCCCCCUAUAGUGCCCCUGGCUUGGAGUCCCAGUGUUAUAGCUCUUUAGUUUGCUCUUCAGUGCUUGAUACCUGAAGCAUACUUGCUUCCAGCCCAGGUCAGGGAGCUUCAAGUCUGUGCCAAAGCUGUGCCAAAGCUGAAUCUCCCUUCAUGGUGACUUUUCCCUGAUAUUGGACCCAGGUCAGUGUUCUAAGCUCACUUCACUUCUGAUGAGUUCUUCCUUCAGGGCCCUAGAUAUUUCUUGCUAGAGACCUAAGUCUGAAUUAUCUCCAUCCAUCAGCAUGGCUUAAAAUAAGGAUUGGUGAACUUAUUCUGUAAUAGGCUAGAUAGCAAAUAUUUUAGGCCCUAUAGGUCAUUUGAGUUAUUUGGUCUCUGUUGCAACUACUCACCUCUACCAUCACAGCUAGAAAGCAGCCAUAAACAUAGACAAUAUAAACAAAUGAGCAUGGCUAUGAUUCAAUACAACUUUACUUAUGAACACCAAUAUUUGAAUUUCAUAGAAUUUUCACGUCACAAAAUAUUCUUCUUUUAAUUUUUUUCAGCCAUUGAAAGUAUAAGUUCUCCUAUUCAAGUAGGUGUAGUUAGAAAUAAACAAAAUAAAGUCAUUCUUAGUUCACUGGUCUUACAAAAACAGGAGGCAGCCAGAUUUGGCCCUUGGGCUAUAGCUUGCUCACUUCUGCAAUACUAAUUUGUUGAACUUAAAAAGAAAUAGGGGGUAAAUCUGGCAAGAUGGUGGAGUAGAAAAUACCAGGAAUCUAUCUCCCCACUUAGACAAUGAUUUGCUGGCAGAAUCUGUUUGAUGUAACUGUUUUAUAACUCUGAAAUCUAUUGCAGGCUUAAAAACUUCCAGUGGAAGGUUGGGCAGUAAAUUGCAGUUAC